UUUUGACAAUGGGGGCAAGCCGGAUCCAGCACAACCGCGUGAGGCAAGAAGCCCUUAGGGUGGGGAAGCUAUUUUGUCAGGGAGGAAACGGUGAGCUCUAAUUCAGUUUGCUAAUGACGGUACCCAAGGAAUAAGCCCCCGGCUAACUACGUGCCAGCAGCCGCGGUAAUACGUAGGGGGCAAGCGUUCCCCCGCAAUUACUGGGCGUAAAGGGUGCGCAGGCGGUUAUUUAAGUCAGAUGUGAAAUCCCCGAGCUCAACCUGGGAAUGGCAUUUGAAACUGCAUGUCUAGAGUGCGUCAGAGGGAGGUAGAAUUCCUAGUGUAGCAGUGAAAUGCGUAGAGAUGAGGAGGAAUACCAUGCGAAGCAGACCCCCUGGGAUAUCACUACACUCAGCAGAA
rnacentral:rRNA from 1 species